rnacentral:rRNA from 1 species
GGUUAAGCGACUAAGCGUACACGGUGGAUGCCCUGGCAGUCAGAGGCGAUGAAGGACGUGCUAAUCUGCGAAAAGCGUCGGUAAGGUGAUAUGAACCGUUACAGCCGGCGAUGUCCGAAUGGGGAAACCCAGUGCAAUUCGUUGCACUAUCGUUUGAUGAAUACAUAGUCAAACGAGGCGAACCGGGGGAACUGAAACAUCUAAGUACCCCGAGGAAAAGAAAUCAACCGAGAUUCCCCCAGUAGCGGCGAGCGAACGGGGAGCAGCCCGGAGUCUGAAUCAGCUUGUGUGUUAGUGGAAGCGUCUGGAAAGUCGCAGGGUACAGGGUGAUACUCCCGUACACUAAAACACACAGGCUGUGAACUCGAAGAGUAGGGCGGGACACGUGGUAUCCUGUCUGAAUAUGGGGGGACCAUCCUCCAAGGCUAAAUACUCCUGACUGACCGAUAGUGAACCAGUACCGUGAGGGAAAGGCGAAAAGAACCCCGGCGAGGGGAGUGAAAAAGAACCUGAAACCGUGUACGUACAAGCAGUAGGAGCCCACUUGUUGGGUGACUGCGUACCUUUUGUAUAAUGGGUCAGCGACUUAUAUUCUGUAGCAAGGUUAACCGUAUAGGGGAGCCGCAGGGAAACCGAGUCUUAACUGGGCGUUAAGUUGCAGGGUAUAGACCCGAAACCCGGUGAUCUAGCCAUGGGCAGGUUGAAGGUUGGGUAACACUAACUGGAGGACCGAACCGACUAAUGUUGAAAAAUUAGCGGAUGACUUGUGGCUGGGGGUGAAAGGCCAAUCAAACCGGGAGAUAGCUGGUUCUCCCCGAAAGCUAUUUAGGUAGCGCCUCGUGAAUUCAUCUUCGGGGGUAGAGCACUGUUUCGGCUAGGGGGUCAUCCCGACUUACCAACCCGAUGCAAACUACGAAUACCGAAGAAUGUUAUCACGGGAGACACACGGCGGGUGCUAACGUCCGUCGUGAAGAGGGAAACAACCCAGACCGCCAGCUAAGGUCCCAAAGUCAUGGUUAAGUGGGAAACGAUGUGGGAAGGCCCAGACAGCCAGGAUGUUGGCUUAGAAGCAGCCAUCAUUUAAAGAAAGCGUAAUAGCUCACUGGUCGAGUCGGCCUGCGCGGAAGAUGUAACGGGGCUAAACCAUGCACCGAAGCUGCGGCAGCGACACUAUGUGUUGUUGGGUAGGGGAGCGUUCUGUAAGCCGUUGAAGGUGGCCUGUGAAGGUUGCUGGAGGUAUCAGAAGUGCGAAUGCUGACAUAAGUAACGAUAAUGCGGGUGAAAAACCCGCACGCCGGAAGACCAAGGGUUCCUGUCCAACGUUAAUCGGGGCAGGGUGAGUCGACCCCUAAGGCGAGGCCGAAAGGCGUAGUCGAUGGGAAACAGGUUAAUAUUCCUGUACUUGGUGUUACUGCGAAGGGGGGACGGAGAAGGCUAUGUUGGCCGGGCGACGGUUGUCCCGGUUUAAGCGUGUAGGUGUGUGUUCCAGGUAAAUCCGGUUCACUUUAACACUGAGGCGUGAUGACGAGGCACUACGGUGCUGAAGUGACAAAUGCCCUGCUUCCAGGAAAAGCCUCUAAGCAUCAGGUAACAUCAAAUCGUACCCCAAACCGACACAGGUGGUCAGGUAGAGAAUACCAAGGCGCUUGAGAGAACUCGGGUGAAGGAACUAGGCAAAAUGGUGCCGUAACUUCGGGAGAAGGCACGCUGAUAUGUAGGUGAAGUGGUUUACCCAUGGAGCUGAAAUCAGUCGAAGAUACCAGCUGGCUGCAACUGUUUAUUAAAAACACAGCACUGUGCAAACACGAAAGUGGACGUAUACGGUGUGACGCCUGCCCGGUGCCGGAAGGUUAAUUGAUGGGGUUAUCCGUAAGGAGAAGCUCUUGAUCGAAGCCCCGGUAAACGGCGGCCGUAACUAUAACGGUCCUAAGGUAGCGAAAUUCCUUGUCGGGUAAGUUCCGACCUGCACGAAUGGCGUAAUGAUGGCCAGGCUGUCUCCACCCGAGACUCAGUGAAAUUGAACUCGCUGUGAAGAUGCAGUGUACCCGCGGCAAGACGGAAAGACCCCGUGAACCUUUACUAUAGCUUGACACUGAACACUGGUCCUUGAUGUGUAGGAUAGGUGGGAGGCUUUGAAGCGUGGACGCCAGUCUGCGUGGAGCCAUCCUUGAAAUACCACCCUUUAAUGGCUGGUGUUCUAACGUGGGCCCCUAAUCGGGGUUGCGGACAGUGUCUGGUGGGUAGUUUGACUGGGGCGGUCUCCUCCUAAAGAGUAACGGAGGAGCACGAAGGUCAGCUAAUCCUGGUCGGACAUCAGGAGGUUAGUGCAAUGGCAUAAGCUGGCUUGACUGCGAGCGUGACGGCGCGAGCAGGUGCGAAAGCAGGUCAUAGUGAUCCGGUGGUUCUGAAUGGAAGGGCCAUCGCUCAACGGAUAAAAGGUACUCCGGGGAUAACAGGCUGAUACCGCCCAAGAGUUCAUAUCGACGGCGGUGUUUGGCACCUCGAUGUCGGCUCAUCACAUCCUGGGGCUGAAGUAGGUCCCAAGGGUAUGGCUGUUCGCCAUUUAAAGUGGUACGCGAGCUGGGUUUAGAACGUCGUGAGACAGUUCGGUCCCUAUCUGCCGUGGGCGCUGGAGAAUUGAGGGGGGCUGCUCCUAGUACGAGAGGACCGGAGUGGACGCAUCACUGGUGUUCGGGUUGUCAUGCCAAUGGCAUUGCCCGGUAGCUAAAUGCGGAAGAGAUAAGUGCUGAAAGCAUCUAAGUACGAAACUUGCCCCGAGAUGAGUUCUCCCUGACUCCUUGAGAGUCCUGAAGGAACGUUGAAGACGACGACGUUGAUAGGCCGGGUGUGUAAGCGCAGCGAUGCGUUGAGCUAACCGGUACUAAUGAACCGUGAGGCUUAACCUU